AAAACAAGAGGAAACAGUGAUAGGACCUGCAAUGAUUAUAAUCCAGAGUCCAGUAACUUGCUUCAAGAAUUAACUAGACAGGGGAACACGGAAAGCAAGACCAACAUUCUUUUGGAAGACAAAAGAAUCAUUUCUCCUAGAUGAGCUUCAGUUAAUCAGGAAAAAGAGAAUAAAUACAAGCUACUCUCUGAUGAAGUUGGUGGCGCCGUGGAGGAGGACCGCCGCCUCCUGGAGGAGGACCGCGAGCGCUCGGCCGUGCAGGCGACAUGCUUGUCAUAGUUCUCCAUCUGAGCCUCGAGGAAGUCUCUCUGCUGCUGCCUGAGGGUCUGGCUUAUAAGCCCAGGGAGGGCGUGGAUGCUCCCGAUCAAAGUCUCUAGUUUUGUCUCCAGGGUAACAACCCUCUUCUCAAAGU